AGUUUCCGCCAUCCAUGACCCACAAGCCAGUAAAAGUGAAACGGGGUGAAGUGACACACCUCCCCCAAAACUCUUAGGAAUGCGUCUGGCGGGGAGAUCCCAGCACCUGUCCCCGCGCGCAGAAGCCACCUUGGGAAAUGCCGUGGUUGGUUCUAGCUAUUACCAUGGUGCGUUUUUAUAUGGAAAAAGGAACACACAAAGGUUUAUAUAAAAGUAUUCAGAAGACACUUAAAUUUUUCCAGACAUUUGCCUUGCUUGAGAUAGUCCACUGCUUAAUUGGAAUUGUACCUACUUCUGUGCUUGUGGCUGGGGUCCAAGUCAGUUCCAGAAUCUUUAUGGUGUGGCUCAUUACUCAUAGCAUAAAACCAAUCCAGAAUGAGGAGAGUGUGGUGCUGUUUCUGGUCGCGUGGACUGUGACAGAGAUUACUCGCUAUUCCUUCUACACAUUCAGUCUCCUCAACCACUUGCCAUACUUCAUUAAGUGGGCCAGUGGCAAUCACAUCAAUAACAACUUAAUGUGCUCUGCGCCAACUGCAUAGUUGAAAUGCAGGCAUGAGCACAACAAAAUCCCUGCCCACUUAAGAUGGAGGAGGCAAAAAAUGAUCCCACUAACAGCUCUGUGAAAUGCCAGGGGGUAAGAAGUUCAGGGAGGCACAGGAUAAGAGAUGUGCAUCUCAUAUAUAAUUUUUUUAUCAUCUUAUAUCCUGUUGGAGUUGCUGGUGAACUUCUCACGAUAUACGCUGCCUUACCAUAUGUGAAGAAAACUGGGAUGUUUUCAAUAAGACUUCCUAAUAAAUACAAUAUCUCUUUUGACUACUAUUAUUUUCUUCUUAUAACCAUGGCAUCGUAUAUACCAUUGUUUCCACAACUCUAUUUCCACAUGUUACGUCAAAGAAGAAAGGUGCUUCAUGGAGAGGUGAUUGUAGAAAAGGAUGAUUAAAUGACCUCUACAAACAAGGUGCUUUUUCCAGAAUAACCAGGAUUACUUGAGUCCAAGUUUUAAUAACAAGAAUAAACAACUUCAUGAAAUACUA